rnacentral:rRNA from 1 species
AGAGUUUGAUCAUGGCUCAGGACGAACGCUGGCGGCGUGCUUAACACAUGCAAGUCGAACGGUGAUCUUGAGAGCUUGCUCUUGGGUGAUCAGUGGCGAACGGGUGAGUAACACGUGAGCAACCUGCCCCAGACUCUGGAAUAACCCCGGGAAACCGGAGCUAAUACCGGAUACGACACUGGCCCGCAUGGGUAUGGUGUGGAAAGUUUUUCGGUCUGGGAUGGGCUCGCGGCCUAUCAGCUUGUUGGUGAGGUAGUGGCUCACCAAGGCGACGACGGGUAGCCGGCCUGAGAGGGCGACCGGCCACACUGGGACUGAGACACGGCCCAGACUCCUACGGGAGGCAGCAGUGGGGAAUAUUGCACAAUGGGCGCAAGCCUGAUGCAGCGACGCCGCGUGAGGGAUGACGGCCUUCGGGUUGUAAACCUCUUUCACCCAUGGCGAAGUGGCUGGGUUUUCCUGGUCGUGACGGUAGUGGGAGAAGAAGCGCCGGCCAACUACGUGCCAGCAGCCGCGGUAAUAC